AACGAACGCUGGCGGCAGGCUUAACACAUGCAAGUCGAACGCUGAGGCUGACUUCGGUUAGUGGAUGAGUGGCAGACGGGUGAGUAACGCGUGGGAACCUACCCAGAGGUACGGAACAACACAGAGAAAUUUGUGCUAAUACCGAAUACACCCUUCGGGGGAAAGAUUUAUCGCCUUUGGAUGGGCCCGCGUUUGAUUAGCUAGUUGGUGAGGUAAUGGCUCACCAAGGCGACGAUCAAUAGCUGGUCUGAGAGGAUGAUCAGCCACACUGGGACUGAGACACGGCCCAGACUCCUACGGGAGGCAGCAGUGGGGAAUAUUGGACAAUGGGCGCAAGCCUGAUCCAGCCAUGCCGCGUGAGGGAAGAAUGGUUGUGGCCAGAAACCUCUUUUAAUAGGAAGAAUUCUGACGGUACCUAUUGAAUAAGCAUCGGCUAACUCCGU
rnacentral:rRNA from 1 species